rnacentral:rRNA from 1 species
UGGGAACCAUAGCGGACGGGUGAGUAACGCGUAAAGGACUUACCCUCAGGACUGGGAUAACAGAGGGAAACUUCUGAUAAGACCGGAUAUAAUAUAUGUAUUGCAUGAUAUAUAUAUGAAAGGGAACGCCUGAGGAGAGCUUUGCGUCCUAUUAGUUAGUUGGUGGGGUAACGGCCUACCAAGGCGAUGAUAGGUAGCCGGCCUGAGAGGGUGGACGGCCACAAGGGGACUGAGAUACGGCCCUUACUCU